GAGGAGUGUCGAAAAGGAAAUGACUUUUUCGCGGUGUGAUUUCAAGGCUUUGUCCAAGCACUUGGGAAAACACUGGAGGAGGCCGCUGGUUCCCAGCUCCAGGUUAGCUCCUGUGCCUGCUCACCGUGCUGGGGCCUGCCCUUCGGAAUAGCCAGAAGCCAACCCCAGGCCGCUCCCUGUGCACCCGGCUGAGAUGGCUUAGUCGCAAGCACGCUUGGCCGCAGAAAGACCUGGUCCUCGAGUCACCCGCCCCCAUCUGCUGGAGAGAGACUUGUGGCACCUCCCCUCUCCACGCUGCAACUCUCGGGGAGAAACGGCAGAGCUGACGCAAGCGGCCCCGAUGCACAUGUACUGCCCCCCACGCCCCCCACGAUCCUCUGCGGCUCCACGAAAGGGUUAAGUGAGGGCUCAGCCGCUACAUAAAUCUGUGUUUACCCGCUGCAAAGCAAGCUAUUUAGGUUUCUGAUUUACAGUCCUCCGUUUUCAUAAAAGUCAGUCAUUCCCAGUAAAAGAAUGUGAGCUAGAUUUAUAGGAUCUGCGUUAGUCUUUAAAGCCCAGAGCUGGUCUAUGACUCACCCUCCAUAAUGUUUUUGCUCUAGUCCGGAGAUAUUCACGGGCAAAGAGAAAGAUUCAGAUCUCUGCCCUAAAAAAUAAGACGUUUGGGGGGAACUCAUUAUAAUGGCGUCAAUUGUGCUGCGCUCGUAAACCCGCUGUCCGCGGGCCCCCCUGGAGCCUGUUUUCCAGGGGUUUUAUUCCGCAAUAAAACGCGCUCUGGUUUGCAGCUUGGCAUGUGAGACCUCCACUGGUAUGAGCGAAUGCUUUUUUUCCAACCGAAUUAUUAGGAAUAAACAGCCCACCAGUGGGAAGGCAGAAAAAAAUUAUAAGCAAGGAAAAUAAAUCUUGGAAUGUUUG